UCAUCUAAUUUUAAUUGUACUUUAUUUUUAAAACAAUUAUUGUCCACUAAUCAUAAUUUACAGCGACAUCUACGAAAUUCCCAUAAAAGUAAUAGUCCUGCGAAAGAAGAAGCAAUAUGUCCAUUUGAAGACUGCAGAAAAACUCUGAGCAGUAAACAUUCAGAGUUAGUCGGAAACUUGACAGAGAAGCAUGAAUUUCAGCCAUUGAUGAGUUCACGUUUGCUUCUGAAGAUGGUUACCGGAGAAAUGAGACUGACUAUGUAGCGUGAAAAUAGAACAAGAAUUUCGGAAUCAGAAAAGUUGCGUCGAUACCGGGAAAAGCGCAAUUCUGGAAAAUUGCCCAUAAGCACGAGUCAUUGGUUCGUGCCUCCCGCCUCUCGACCAUCACACUCACACACUAAACAGUAGUACCACUACUGAACCACUUCAUGGAAAACACACAGUGAGUGAAUCUUCAGGUGGUCUGAACAGAAUAGAAGAGUGGUGAGAUGACGGCAAGGUCCAGUAUGUUCUGGCUUUAUUUGGAAUAGCAGAACAAUGUGCACAAUGGACCACCAAGUAGAGGUUGAUUACUGGAGACUUUUCGUUACUCGCAAAUUCUCGGCUUCUCAGUCACUGUUACUAUUUGCUUUCCAUUCUUGAAACAAGGGUAAACCGAGGGCUUUUCAAUUGAGAGCGAGUGCACGCCACUGACCGUUAUUGUUGAGUACCGCUUUUACCUUCUUCUCUGUUACAUAUUUGCGCCAGUUUUGAGCAAAUAUGAAUUUUAAAACAAUUCAAAAUGGUUAUUGUGUUUCCUUCCAUCCAAAUAAAACAUGAUUAUUAUCAUAACUUGAUUCUAGGUACUUGGUUCUCAUGUAUUCCCUACUGCAAACAAAUAAUGAAUCAGUUCUUACAACAUGGUAUCCUUUGAAGUAACUAAGAUAGAGUUUAUGAAGGAGAUUUGAGAUUAUGUGCCGGUUGCACAAAAUCCGAUUAAAUUUAAUCGUGAUUAAUUUCACGAAAACCAAUCAGAGAAGCCGUAUUUUCAAAACAAACUUCUCUGAUUGGUUCUCGUGAAGUUUAUUCACGUUUAAAAUUCAACCGGCUUUUGUGCAACCUAAGAAUGAGUAUUGCUGGAAAAAUAUUUGUGGAAUUUUUUGUAAAAAAUGAACAUUUGUUGCUCCGCUUGUAUAUCUACAAAUUGACGUGGUGAACUAUUGUAGUAAAAAGUAGUAAUUAUUGCUAGUGAUAUGGUUUCCUUCGCACUGUGCUGAGAGUAAGUCGUGAUAGACCGAAACAUGUAAACAGACUGGCAAUAAGAAGCGAGUGAAACAAUAAGGAUGCGAUGCGACACUGUGAUGCGAUGCGUUGCUUGGCGACGAGUUGGUUGGCGGAUUAGGCAGGCAGACGCAACAUAUGCUUUGGCACUGAUAGCGUUCAUCCUUAUUAAGUCCUUAGGCUGCGACUCAUCUCAUUGUUCACGGUCCUAAGCCCUCGGAUACAUUCAGUUACUCUCAACAAUCCUCCUCGCAAGUGGAUAUCCUUCGUCUGCCUCUACCGGCCAAAGACAUUCUCACAAGACGCUGUUUACUCUCUCGCUCCAUCCUCUUGUAUUGCUGAGAAGCAACUCUCUCCUCGUCUCACAGCCACCUUAAUUUAUUCUCGCUCAGCGUCUCGGUUUAUUUGCACUCAACAGCUUCAAAAUGAUAGUAUUAUUCUCGGGAGUGAGUUCUACUGGAUGUGGUGUAAAUCGUUAUCCAGAUGGUGAUGGAGUUAAUUUUUUUAAUUUAUAGAUCUGCACAGUUUGUAACUAUUAAGUGAAUUUAGAGUUUCUAGUGUAAUAGUGUGAUAUUGAGUGGGUAUUAUUGUAGUUGUUUUUGUGUAUCUUAUUUUAUUUUUCAGGUUUUUGAA